GAAAUGCGAUAAGUAAUGUGAAUUGCAGAAUUCAGUGAAUCAUCGAAUCUUUGAACGCACCUUGCGCUCCUUGGUAUUCCUUGGAGCAUGCCUGUUUGAGUAUCAUGAAAUCUUCAAAGUAAAUCUUUUGUUAACUCAAUUGGUUUCUACUUUGGUAUUGGAGGUCUUUGCAGCUUCACACCUGCUCCUCUUUGUUCAUUAGCUGGAUCUCAGUGUUAUGCUUGGUUCCACUCGGCGUGAUAAGUUAUCUAUCGCUGAGGACACUGUAAAAGGUGGCCAAGGUAAAUGCAGAUGAACCGCUUCUAAUAGUCCAUUGACUUGGACAAUACUUUUAUGAUCUGAUCUCAAAUCAGGUAGGACUACCCGCUGAACUUAAGAA
rnacentral:misc_RNA from 1 species